rnacentral:lncRNA from 1 species
GGGCAUAAUGGGGACGUUAAGGUUUAAAGAAGCACAGGAAAGUAAUUUUUAGAGAAAAAACAUGAAAGUUUAUUUUUAGACUCAUUUGCAUAUAAAGUAAAAAUGAAUCAGUUUUAUGAUAUAUAAGCAAUGUAACACAUGAGAAAUUUAAAGAUUUAUUGAAUGUGUAAAAUGCCCCGUCUUGCCCCAUGGGGGUGGGGCAAGAUGGAGACUAAUAUUUUUCCGCUCAAUUUCACAAAUAAACACUGUUUCAACAUCAUUUUCAUCGAUACCUGCACAUGAGCAGUGGGCCUACUUUUGACAUGUAUUGCACAUGGCCAAAACUUCUUUUGAUGUUGAGUAUAAAUCACCACAAUAAAGGCACUCCAUAUCUUCUUUAUCGCAUUUUGGUUUCUUCUUCUGUGGUUGUUUGUCUUUGCUUUUUGAUGUGUAGCUUUCUUUUAGGUAGGCCUAAUCAAGGGGAAAAUGGGACCAUCAGAAAAAUGAUGGUCCCAUUUCGCCUUAAUUAGGCCCCAUCUUAACUGGUUCAUUUUUUGCUUCUGGAUCUUUUUUCCA